CACGUAGGGCGCGAGCGUUGUCCGGAAUUAUUGGGCGUAAAGAGCUCGUAGGCGGCCUGUUGCGUCCGCUGUGAAAAUCCCGAGGCUCAACCUCGGGUCUGCAGUCGAUACGGGGCGGACUGGAGUUCGGCAGGGGAGACUGGAAUUCCUGGUGUAGCGGUGAAAAUGCGCAGAUAUCAGGAGGAACACCGGUGGCGAAGGGCGGGGUCUCUGGGGCCGAUACUGACGCUGAGGAGCGAAAAGCGUGGGGGAGCGAACAGGA
rnacentral:rRNA from 1 species